rnacentral:rRNA from 1 species
GAUGAACGCUGGCGGCGUGCCUAAUACAUGCAAGUCGAGCGAACAGAUGAGGAGCUUGCUCCUCUGACGUUAGCGGCGGACGGGUGAGUAACACGUGGAUAACCUACCUAUAAGACUGGGAUAACUUCGGGAAACCGGAGCUAAUACCGGAUAAUAUAUUGAACCGCAUGGUUCAAUAGUGAAAGACGGUUUUGCUGUCACUUAUAGAUGGAUCCGCGCCGCAUUAGCUAGUUGGUAAGGUAACGGCUUACCAAGGCAACGAUGCGUAGCCGACCUGAGAGGGUGAUCGGCCACACUGGAACUGAGACACGUUCCAGACUCCUACGGGAGGCAGCAGUAGGGAAUCUUCCGCAAUGGGCGAAAGCCUGACGGAGCAACGCCGCGUGGGUGAUGAAGGUCUUCGGAUCGUAAAACUCUGUUAUUAGGGAAGAACAAAUGUGUAAGUAACUAUGCACGUCUUGACGGUACCUAAUCAGAAAGCCACGGCUAACUACGUG